UGAGUUUUAUUUUCCACAACCCUGUGGCUGGUCAGUCUUUCUUUUGCCUCCACUGCUGACCGCCAGGCAGUGUGUCAGUGACCUCAGGCAGCCAGAUUUCAUCCUCUUGUCCACAGAGGGAGGUUGGAAUCUCCUCCAAACUGCAUGUCACAGUUUGCAAAACCCAGUUCAGUAUGAGUUGAACGAUGCAAGAGACCCGUGCUCAGAGGAGCAGGCUGACUUCAUGCAAGCCCUGGCACUGAGCAGCAGGCCUGGAACAAUGGAUCUUCCUGUACCAUUUUGCUUGACUUGUUUCUGGAACAAUGUGUCUCCAAAGAUACCAACCUGAGCAGGGUCGUGUGAGGACAGGAAUGCCAAUAGCAGAGGGGCAUGGGGCCACCUCUGCUCAUGCAGCUGCUGGUGGGAUGCUGGGACACUGGGGUGGAAACCCUGGCCUCCACGCACUCUGGGGAAUGAAUACGACAGUAUCACCAACCGCCCCAGCAAACGCUCAUGUGUCAGAGAUUUUUUGAAAUGAAAAAUUCAAGAGCAGAUGGCAAAAUAAAGACUCUUUACAAAUGUGAA